UCAGAGACGAUUAAUCGAUUAUGGUAAUUAUGUAACCAUAAGUAAACGAUACAAUGCGUGUAGAUCAUAGAUAUAUCAAGAUUAACCAUCUUUUCGGUAAUUAGAUGGUAAUUUACUGUAAUUCGACAGAUUUUACGGAAGGUAUACAUAUGAACGAUAAAUGACGAUGAAUCGAGUGAGAUUUACCACAAUUCUAGCCAAAAAUCUCGAACGAAGAAUCCAGAGAGAAUUUGACCCAACGACUACAACGAAGAGAUCAGAUACUAUCGGAAAGAUAAUACGAUACAAAUCUGGCACGACAAUCAUUGCUCAACAAUACCCACCACCUAUACAAUCCCAAGAACUUACCAGGAUCAGCACUGGCUGCAAGGGCUUCGCCCAAUCUGGGUACUUUACUAGGCACAUCAUCGCUGCUUCUACCAUCUUUCGCUUUGGAUCUGGAAAACAAACGAACAAUUAAGAAUCUAAUUCAAAUCUAUCAAUCACACAAAAGAUUGAAUAAUGGAUCAGGUAACUUACUCGAUUUCUUUCAUCGUACCCGGUGCGCCGAAAUUCAUGGAUUUAACGAAAUCAUUCAUGUUGAGAGAUUUCAAAACAUCGUAAUUCAAUUUAUUCGAGAUUUUCUUCUCUCUUAAUACUUUUUCUACAGCUUCUCCUACAAUAAAAAAGAGAAAAAAAUUCGUAAAAAUAUUUUUCUGAUUGUGAGAUGAACAUACCUACAUUAGAUGAUCAAAUGCUCACCUGCUGUAGCAGCUCCAGCGCCUUUGGUACGUUUCUGUCGUUUACGUUUUUUAUCGCCUUUACCAUCUUCUUUCUCUUUCAAUAAUUUCUCUUCUUCUUUCUCUAUAAAAUUAAAUCCGCCAAUUAUAAAAAUAUUCCCAAGUUCAUUAUUACUAAAAAAAAAACAACAGAUUUUUAUAUAUUCGUACUUUUUUGUUCUUCCAAGAAAGCCGCAUACAGCUCCAUCCAAGCCUUCUUCUUUUGCUGGAACUCGUCAUCUGUGACGAUAUACGAAUCUAAUUCAUCAUCGUCGAGAUCAUCUAAGGAAUGUUCGAUUUCAAAUUGGUCAGUUUUUUCGGUGCUUUCAGCCGGUUUCGGUUCAGGAUCAGCCGCAGGUUGGGCAGGUUCGGUUUCUUCGCCAGAAAUUCCGAUCGUUUCGAGAGUAGGACCUGCGAACAAAAACGAUAUAGGUAAAUUUCACCUAUUUUCUUCGAAGAAAAAAUUCCCAGUUGUGAGGGUAAUUUUUAUACCUAAUCCUUUCGGGGAAGCAGCUUUUUCAUUUUCGGCCAGGGUGGUA